GGCGUGCUUAACACAUGCAAGUCGAGCGAACCUUUUGGGAAUGAUUCUUCGGAUGAAAUCUUUUGUGACUGAGCGGCGGACGGGUGAGUAACGCGUGGGUAACCUGCCUCAUACAGGGGGAUAACAGUUAGAAAUGACUGCUAAUACCGCAUAAGCGCACAGUGCCGCAUGGCACCGUGUGAAAAACUCCGGUGGUAUGAGAUGGACCCGCGUUGGAUUAGGCAGUUGGGCGGGGUAACGGCCCACCAAACCGACGAUCCAUAGCCGGCCUGAGAGGGUGGACGGCCACAUUGGGACUGAGACACGGCCCAAACUCCUACGGGAGGCAGCAGUGGGGAAUAUUGCACAAUGGGGGAAACCCUGAUGCAGCGACGCCGCGUGAGUGAAGAAGUAAUUCGUUAUGUAAAGCUCUAUCAGCAGGGAAGAAAAUGACGGUACCUGACUAAGAAGCCCCGGCUAACUACGUGCCAGCAGCCGCGGUAAUACGUAGGGGGCAAGCGUUAUCCGGAUUUACUGGGUGUAAAGGGAGCGUAGACGGUCGUGCAAGUCUGAUGUGAAAGGCUGGGGCUCAACCCCGGGACUGCAUUGGAAACUGUAUGGCUGGAGUGCCGGAGAGGUAAGCGGAAUUCCUAGUGUAGCGGUGAAAUGCGUAGAUAUUAGGAGGAACACCAGUGGCGAAGGCGGCUUACUGGACGGUAACUGACGUUGAGGCUCGAAAGCGUGGGGAGCAAACAGGAUUAGAUACCCUGGUAGUCCACGCCGUAAACGAUGAUUACUAGGUGUUGGGGGACAUGGUCCUUCCGUGCCGCCGCAAACGCAGU
rnacentral:rRNA from 1 species